UCUUUAAGGUGGAGACGCAAAUAUGAUGAUGGAUUUCUACGUUGAAGCAGCGGCGACAUUUACGGUGUGGACGAUGACCGCAUAAAGAAAUCGUAUUUUAGGUAGGGCGAAUUGGGUUUCUCUACUAUUUUUGGUCUUUCUGCAUUUCAGGUUGUGAAGACAGUGGAGAUUGAAUCACGAUUGGUGGCGGAAGAUGAAGGAAUCGUGAUUGGGAUUUCUCAAUAUUGCGACCCUUUCGAUCUAGGUUAGUGUUCUUGCAGGUUCCAAAAUUGAAGGCGUAGCAUCAGUGAGGUUUAUUUAGUCGACGAUGAUGACACUGUUGACAUGUUGUUGUUGGAACUGAAUCGGCUUUGAAGACCAGGUGGUUUAUUUAUUUAGUGUGCAACUCCUGUGUACCAGAAGCUUGAAGAAGAUGUCUAGAUAUAUAAGGAAAUGACCUCACUGACAAAGUCCAUUUGUCUGGAGCUUGUGACCAUCAACAAAGAUGAACUGAAUCGUGUCGGUGCUGCUAUUUAUCGCAAACCCACUUCCAACGAAUGCUACAACCAAAGGGCGCAAAGUGAACCUCCAUUGUGUAAGGACGAUGAUGAUCCAAAUGUUGCCUGUAUGUGCCUCUAUAGGCAUGCUUACACAGGGUGCCUGUGGACAACACUGAGAGAGGAGCCAAAUGGCCUUAAACUUGGCCUCGUCGACUAAAUAAACCUCCAUAUUGGUUAAACAACUCGCAGACUGGUUGUUGACGUAACCACACUGAAUUUUUGAAGUCUCGAUGGCUAAUGCGAUAGAGAUGAGGGUUGAUUGGUAAUUUUGGUGUUGACGAUGCACGAGGAGUAUGAUGGUUCAAUCCAGUUUCUGUUUGCAGGUUUGCGAUUCUUGUGCGAAUUGGGUUAAUGAUGGAAGAGAUCGCAAUGAAGGUUUGGGUGGUUUUAGUUUUCUGAUUUGGAUCUUUGUGGUGGUGGGAGGAGAUGAACUGAUAUGCGAUUUGGGGGUGCGGUUGAUGGUGGUGGCCACUGUGGUAGAGUUAGAGAGAGAGGGAAAGGGAGGGAAAGAAACUGGGAAAUAUUGACUAGCGAAAAAA